rnacentral:snoRNA from 11 species
UUGCAGGACUGUUACAGUGCAGCUUGUGUAGUGCUGUCUUGUCGUUCCCCCUGCAAACAGUAACCUGUUUCCAGCUAUCCCUGUUUGUCUAAAUCACCUGGCAACCAGGGACGCAAGGUCUCAGACAC